rnacentral:rRNA from 1 species
GCCGUGGCGGGCCUCUAUACAUGCAGUCGACGAACUCUGGUAUUGAUUGGUGCUUGCAUCAUGAUUUACAUUUGAGUGAGUGGCGAACUGGUGAGUAACACGUGGGAAACCUGCCCAGAAGCGGGGGAUAACACCUGGAAACAGAUGCUAAUACCGCAUAACAACUUGGACCGCAUGGUCCGAGUUUGAAAGAUGGCUUCGGCUAUCACUUUUGGAUGGUCCCGCGGCGUAUUAGCUAGAUGGUGGGGUAACGGCUCACCAUGGCAAUGAUACGUAGCCGACCUGAGAGGGUAAUCGGCCACAUUGGGACUGAGACACGGCCCAAACUCCUACGGGAGGCAGCAGUAGGGAAUCUUCCACAAUGGACGAAAGUCUGAUGGAGCAACGCCGCGUGAGUGAAGAAGGGUUUCGGCUCGUAAAACUCUGUUGUUAAAGAAGAACAUAUCUGAGAGUAACUGUUCAGGUAUUGACGGUAUUUAACCAGAAAGCCACGGCUAACUACGUGCCAGCAGCCGCGGUAAUACGUAGGUGGCAAGCGUUGUCCGGAUUUAUUGGGCGUAAAGCGAGCGCAGGCGGUUUUUUAAGUCUGAUGUGAAAGCCUUCGGCUCAACCGAAGAAGUGCAUCGGAAACUGGGAAACUUGAGUGCAGAAGAGGACAGUGGAACUCCAUGUGUAGCGGUGAAAUGCGUAGAUAUAUGGAAGAACACCAGUGGCGAAGGCGGCUGUCUGGUCUGUAACUGACGCUGAGGCUCGAAAGUAUGGGUAGCAAACAGGAUUAGAUACCCUGGUAGUCCAUACCGUAAACGAUGAAUGCUAAGUGUUGGAGGGUUUCCGCCCUUCAGUGCUGCAGCUAACGCAUUAAGCAUUCCGCCUGGGGAGUACGGCCGCAAGGCUGAAACUCAAAGGAAUUGACGGGGGCCCGCACAAGCGGUGGAGCAUGUGGUUUAAUUCGAAGCUACGCGAAGAACCUUACCAGGUCUUGACAUACUAUGCAAAUCUAAGAGAUUAGACGUUCCCUUCGGGGACAUGGAUACAGGUGGUGCAUGGUUGUCGUCAGCUCGUGUCGUGAGAUGUUGGGUUAAGUCCCGCAACGAGCGCAACCCUUAUUAUCAGUUGCCAGCAUUAAGUUGGGCACUCUGGUGAGACUGCCGGUGACAAACCGGAGGAAGGUGGGGAUGACGUCAAAUCAUCAUGCCCCUUAUGACCUGGGCUACACACGUGCUACAAUGGAUGGUACAACGAGUUGCGAACUCGCGAGAGUAAGCUAAUCUCUUAAAGCCAUUCUCAGUUCGGAUUGUAGGCUGCAACUCGCCUACAUGAAGUCGGAAUCGCUAGUAAUCGCGGAUCAGCAUGCCGCGGUGAAUACGUUCCCGGGCCUUGUACACACCGCCCGUCACACCAUGAGAGUUUGUAACACCCAAAGUCGGUGGGGUAACCUGUAGGAACCAGCCGCUAAGUGACAAUGG